rnacentral:rRNA from 1 species
CUACAAGGGUAUCUAAUCCUGUUUGCUACCCACGCUUUCGUACCUCAGCGUCAGAAAAUGGCCAGAAAGUCGCCUUCGCCACCGGUAUUCCUCCUAAUAUCUGCGCAUUCCACCGCUACACUAGGAAUUCCACUUUCCCUUCCAUCUCUCAAGGUCCCCAGUUUUAGAAGCUUACUAUAGUUGAGCUAUAGCCUUUGACUUCUAACUUAAAAACCCGCCUACGUACCCUUUACGCCCAAUGAUUCCGGACAACGCUCGGUCCUUACGUAUUACCGCGGCUGCUGGCAC